rnacentral:tmRNA from 1 species
GGGGACGAUUUGGCUUCGACGGACAGGAUGCAGUUACAGAUGGCAUUCCGGGAUUAUCGGAUAUCCCGUGAUUAUCCGGUAGCACGAUAAGUGCCGAUUAUGAUUACGCACUGGCAGCCUAGAUAGAGCUGUCACAUUCUGACUUACACCAAUCUGCCGGUGUUUGACAGAAUGCCAUUCCAGGUAGAUCGGUUUCUGGUGUUGUCAGAUCACCAGAAGACGUACUUAUUCUGGCUCGCGUAGGUGUUGGUGGGUCACCAUACCUGCCUCUAUGCUAAAACCAAUUGGUGACUAAGGAUGUAGAUGUCUGUAAAAGUGCCUGUUCGGACCCGGGUUCAAUUCCCGGCGUCUCCACAA